GACGAACGCUGGCGGCGUGCUUAACACAUGCAAGUCGAACGCGCCUGUCCUCUGGGUUUCUGGGGGGUGGGUGAGUGGCGAACGGGUGAGUAACACGUGAGUAACCUGCCCCCUUCCUCGGGAUAACGGUCUGAAAGGGCUGCUAAUACCGGGUAUUCACUGGUCUCCGCAUGGGGUCUGGUGGAAAGGUUUUUUUCUGGUGGGGGAUGGGCUCGCGGCCUAUCAGCUUGUUGGUGGGGUGAUGGCCCACCAAGGCUUUGACGGGUAGCCGGCCUGAGAGGGUGACCGGUCACAUUGGGACUGAGAUACGGCCCAGAAUCCUACGGGAGGCAGCAGUGGGGAAUAUUGCACAAUGGGCGCAAGCCUGAUGCAGCGACGCCGCGUGAGGGAUGGAGGCCUUCGGGUUGUGAACCUCUUUCGCCCGUGGUCAAGCCGCGACGUGGGUCGUGGUGAGGGUAGUGGGUAAAGAAGCGCCGGCUAAGUACGUG
rnacentral:rRNA from 1 species